UUUCCAGUAGCACCUUAGAGACCAACUAAGUUUGUUAUUGGUAUGAGCUUUCGUGUGUGCAUGCACACGAAAGCUCAUACUAAUAACAAACUUAGUUGAUCUCUAAGGUGCUACUGGAAG
rnacentral:miRNA from 1 species